UGGGGAAUUUUGCACAAUGGGCGCAAGCCUGAUGCAGCGACGCCGCGUGAGGGAUGAAGGCCUUCGGGUUGUAAACCUUUUUCGCUCAUGGUCAAGCCGCAGCUUUGGGUUGUGGUGAGGGUAGUGGGUAAAGAAGCGCCGGCUAACUACGUGCCAGCAGCCGCGGUAAUACGUAGGGCGCGAGCGUUGUCCGGAAUUAUUGGGCGUAAAGGGCUUGUAGGCGGUUGGCCGCGUCUGCCGUGAAAUCCUCUGGCUUAACUGGGGGCGUGGGGUGGGUACGGGGUGACUGGAGUGCGGUAGGGGAGACUGGAAUUCCUGGUGUAGCGGUGGAAUGCGCAGAUAUCAGGAGGAACACCGGUGGCGAAGGCGGGUCUCUGGGCCGUUACUGACUGAGGAGCGAAAGCGUGGGGAGCGAACAGG
rnacentral:rRNA from 1 species